rnacentral:rRNA from 1 species
CCUACGGGAGGCAGCAGUGGGGAAUAUUGCACAAUGGGGGAAACCCUGAUGCAGCGACGCCGCGUGAGCGAUGAAGUAUUUCGGUAUGUACAGCUCUAUCAGCAGGGAAGAAAAUGACGGUACCUGACUAAGAAGCUCCGGCUAACUACGUGCCAGCAGUCGCGGUAAUACGUAGGGGGCAAGCGUUAUCCGGAUUUACUGGGUGUAACGGGAGCGUAGACGGCGGUGCAAGCCAGAUGUGAAGGCCCAGGGCUCAACCCCGGGACUGCAUUUGGAACUGGGCUGCUAGAGUGUCGGAGAGGCAGGCGGAAUUCCUAGUGUAGCGGUGAAAUGCGUAGAUAUUAGGAGGAACACCAGUGGCGAAGGCGGCUUGCUGGACGAUGACUGACGUUGAGGCUCGAAAGCGUGGGGAGCAAACAGGAUUAGAUACCCUGGUAGUC